UACGUAGGGGGCAAGCGUUGUCCGGAUUCAUUGGGCGUAAAGAGCGUGUAGGCGGCCUUACAGGUCAGCUGUGAAAACUCGAGGCUCAACCUCGAGACGUCGGUUGAAACCGUAUGGCUAGAGUCCGGAAGAGGAGAGUGGAAUUCCCGGUGUAGCGGUGAAAUGCGCAGAUAUCAGGAGGAACACCGAUGGCGAAGGCAGUUCUCUGGGCCGUAACUGACGCUGAGGAGCGAAAGCGUGGGGAGCGAACAGG
rnacentral:rRNA from 1 species